rnacentral:rRNA from 1 species
UACGAAGGGAGCUAGCGUUGUUCGGAAUCACUGGGCGUAAAGCGCACGUAGGCGGAUGUGUCAGUCAGGGGUGAAAUCCCGGAGCUCAACUUCGGAACUGCCCUUGAUACAGCACGUCUUGAGUCCGGAAGAGGUGGGUGGAAUUCCUAGUGUAGAGGUGAAAUUCGUAGAUAUUAGGAAGAACACCGGUGGCGAAGGCGGCCCGCUGGUCCGGUACUGACGCUGAGGUGCGAAAGCGUGGGGAGCAAACAGG